rnacentral:rRNA from 1 species
GAUGAACGCUAGCUACAGGCUUAACACAUGCAAGUCGAGGGGCAGCGCAGUGUAGCAAUACACGGGCGGCGACCGGCGCACGGGUGCGUAACGCGUAUCCAACCUUCCCGUUACUCAGGGAUAGCCUUCCGAAAGGGAGAUUAAUACCUGAUGGUGUUUGAAUUCAGCAUGUUAUUCAAACUAAAGAUUUAUCGGUAACGGAUGGGGAUGCGUGACAUUAGAUAGUAGGCGGGGUAACGGCCCACCUAGCCUACGAUGUCUAGGGGUUCUGAGAGUAAGGUCCCCCACACUGGAACUGAGACACGGUCCAGACUCCUACGGGAGGCAGCAGUGAGGAAUAUUGGUCAAUGGUCGGAAGACUGAACCAGCCAAGUAGCGUGAAGGAUGAAGGUUCUAUGGAUUGUAAACUUCCUUUAUACGGGAAUAAAGCCCACUACGUGUAGUGGUUUGUAUGUACCGUAUGAAUAAGCAUCGGCUAACUCCGUGCCAGCAGCCGCCGCAGUAA